UACGUAGGGUGCAAGCGUUGUCCGGAAUUAUUGGGCGUAAAGAGCUCGUAGGCGGUCUGUUGCGUCGACUGUGAAAACCCGGGGCUCAACCCCGGGCCUGCAGCCGAUACGGGCAGACUAGAGUUCGGCAGGGGAGACUGGAAUUCCUGGUGUAGCGGUGAAAUGCGCAGAUAUCAGGAGGAACACCGGUGGCGAAGGCAGGUCUCUGGGCAUUAACUGACGCUGAGGAGCGAAAGUACUGGGGAGCGAACAGG
rnacentral:rRNA from 1 species